AAUCAUGGAGAGGCCUUUACACGUCACCAGCAAGCAUAGCGAAAUGGAUAAAAGGGGAAUCCCCUCCCCAGAAAGUUUAAGUCUAUUUUUCAAUACCAAAACCCUUGUAAAACCCUAUUCUAUUGGAUCUCAGAUCAUCAAUUGGCGCCGUCUGUGGGAAACGAAGGAGAUCUUUUCAUCACCGGAGUUUUCACUUUCAAAACCCACUGAGAUCCACAAUGGCAAACCACCAAGAAAAUAACCUUAACAUUCCGAAUGACCUGAACUCUGCCCAAGAUGGGCAGCAGUUCUCCUUUUCUAGCCCUACAACGUUGAAUAACCAAACGCCUAUUCCUCUUAAUCCCUCGCCAAGCUUGGCAGGGAAUACUCCCACCGUGACCCUGUCUAACCAGGACAUCCAAACCAUGGCUCUCCAGCUACAGACUACUGCUCACUGGUUGGGGCAGAUAAUGCAACAGAGGGGCCUUAGCACCCCAGUAAAUGCACUCCCAGUGGUGGAGGAACCCAGAACCAAUGAACCCCGACCUAUCUUUGACCGCCC
rnacentral:lncRNA from 1 species